CUUGACAUGUCAGGAAUCCUGGAGAGAUCCGGGAGUGCCCGAAAGGGAGCCUGAACACAGGUGCUGCAUGGCUGUCGUCAGCUCGUGUCGUGAGAUGUUGGGUUAAGUCCCGCAACGAGCGCAACCCUUGUCAUUAGUUGCUACGAAAGGGCACUCUAAUGAGACUGCCGGUGACAAACCGGAGGAAGGUGGGGAUGACGUCAAGUCCUCAUGGCCCUUAUGGGUAG
rnacentral:rRNA from 1 species